rnacentral:rRNA from 1 species
GAUCAUGGCUCAGGACGAACGCUGGCGGCGUGCUUAACACAUGCAAGUCGAACGGAAAGAGAUGAAAGAGCUUGCUCUUUUAUUAAUUUCAGUGGCAAACGGGUGAGUAACACGUAAACAACCUGCCUUAAGGAUGGGGAUAACAGACGGAAACGACUGCUAAUACCGAAUACGUUCUAAGCAUCGCAUGGUGCAUAGAAGAAAGGGUGGCCUCUACAAGAAAGCUAUCGCCUUAAGAGGGGUUUUGCG